UACAGAGGGUGCGAGCGUUAAUCGGAUUUACUGGGCGUAAAGCGUGCGUAGGCGGCUUAUUAAGUCGGAUGUGAAAUCCCAGAGCUUAACUUGGGAAUUGCAUUCGAUACUGUGAAGCUAGAGUAUGGGAGAGGAUGGUAGAAUUUCAGGUGUAGCGGUGAAAUUCGUAGAGAUUAGGAGGAAUACCGAUGGCGAAGGCAGCUAUCUGGACUAAUACUGACGCUGAGGUACGAAAGCAUGGGGAGCAAACAGG
rnacentral:misc_RNA from 1 species